ACGCUGAUGGUGAAGCGGUAUCAUACUUGCAAGUUGUCUUCCAUGAACAGUGCACAAUUUAGACAAGCCGCUGAGGUUCGACUCCUCUUCAGUGUA